GCGUAGAGAUCUGGAGGACUACCGGUGGCGAAGGCGGCCUCCUGUACAUAGACUGACGCUCAGGUGCGAAAGCGUGGGGAGCAAACCAGGAUUAGAUACCUUGGUAGUCCACGCGGUAAACGAUGUCGACUUGGAGGUUGUGCCCUUGAGGCGUGGCUUCCGGAGCUAACGCGUUAAGUCGUCCGCCUGGGGAGUACGGCCGCAAGGUUAAAACUCAAAUGAAUUGACGGGGGCCCGCACAAGCGGUGGAGCAUGUGGUUUAAUUCGAUGCAACGCGAAGAACCUUACCUACUCUUGACAUCCAGAGAACUUUCCAGAGAUGGAUUGGUGCCUUCGGGAACUCUGAGACAGGUGGUGCAUGGCUGUCGUCAGCUCGUGUUGUGAAAUGUUGGGUUAAGUCCCGCAACGAGCGCAACCCUUAUCUUUUGUUGCCAGCGGUUAGGCCGGGAACUCAAAGGAGACUGCCAGUGAUAAACUGGAGGAAGGUGGGGAUGACGUCAAGUCAUCAUGGCCCUUACGAGUAGGGCUACACACGUGUUACAAUGGCGCAUACAAAGAGAAGCGACCUCGCGAGAGCAAGCGGACCUCAUAAACUGCGUCGUAGUCCGGAUUGGAGUCUGCAACUGGACUCCAUGAAGUCGGAAUCGCUAGUAAUCGUGGAUCAGAAUGCCACGGUGAAUACGUUCCCGGCCCUUGUACACACCGCCCGUCACACCAUGGGAGUGGGUCCAAAAGAAGUAGGUAGGUUAACC
rnacentral:rRNA from 1 species